UCAACAUCCCCGAAGCGGUCGGAGCUGAAGCUACUGCGAUAUGGGCGGGUGUAACCGCCGAUCAACAUCCCCGAAGCGGUCGGAGCUGAAGCUACUGCGAUAUGGGCGGGUGUAACCGCCGAUCAACAUCCCCGAAGCGGUCGGAGCUGAAGCUACUGCGAUAUGGGCGGGUGUAACCGGUAAGAAAGGUUUUUAACAGAGACGCAGCAGAAAGCUACAGGUGAUAUUCCGAGGAACCCUGUGUUGCCUUCUUGUUGUCUGCAGCCACUAAAAUGUGUUUUUACAGAGAAGAGGAUUAAUUCUUGAAAACCAUAACUUGUGUACUUCAGAAAAAAACAGCUAUUUAUGUUAAGCUGUAGUUGUCUCUUCAGCCCCAUUACCAUCUUCAACUCUAAAGUCUGAACCUACAUUUUUAUGAAUAAUAUUUAUGAAUGUUUACGAAAAAGUAUUUUAAUGUUUGUUCAACUGAUUCUGAAAUGUUCAGAGCAAUCAUAAGAAUACUGAUUUUAGUUCAAUUUAAGGUCUAGUUCAACCUAAGCCACUUCUUUGAUCAAACAUUAUGAGGUUGCCGUCACAAAAACCUCAAUUUCAGGUUUAGUAUAGCAAAAGUGAGAGAUUUCAUACAAAUGUUAUAUUUGCAAAUACUCAACUAGUUUGAGGGACAUCUGAUUGAUUUAAAAAAUGUCGAUUGCGUUACAAAUACAUUUUAUGAUCAUAUUCUGAGAGCUCCCAUAUGUGUCCAUAAUGGGGUUGAAAACUAUUAGUCUUCAUAUCUUAGAAUAAUGACCAAUAAUAAUAAUUAAAUAUUUCAGUAAUGCUGUGGGGUGUUCAGAAAAGUAAUUCAGAGUAAAAGUAGUUCAGACUUUAGGGUAACAGGGUUGAAGAUGGUAAUGGGGCUGAAGAGACAACUAC